AGAGUUCGAUCCUGGCUCAGGAUGAACGCUGGCGGCGCGCCUAACACAUGCAAGUCGAACGGCACCUGCCCUCGGGCAGAAGCGAGUGGCGAACGGCUGAGUAACACGUGGAGAACCUGCCCCCUCCCCCGGGAUAGCCGCCCGAAAGGACGGGUAAUACCGGAUACCCCGGGGUGCCGCAUGGCACCCCGGCUAAAGCCCCGACGGGAGGGGAUGGCUCCGCGGCCCAUCAGGUAGACGGCGGGGUGACGGCCCACCGUGCCGACAACGGGUAGCCGGGUUGAGAGACCGACCGGCCAGAUUGGGACUGAGACACGGCCCAGACUCCUACGGGAGGCAGCAGUGGGGAAUCUUGCGCAAUGGGGGGAACCCUGACGCAGCGACGCCGCGUGCGGGACGGAGGCCUUCGGGUCGUAAACCGCUUUCAGCAGGGAAGAGUCAAGACUGUACCUGCAGAAGAAGCCCCGGCUAACUACGUGCCAGCAGCCGCGGUAAUACGUAGGGGGCGAGCGUUAUCCGGAUUCAUUGGGCGUAAAGCGCGCGUAGGCGGCCCGGCAGGCCGGGGGUCGAAGCGGGGGGCUCAACCCCCCGAAGCCCCCGGAACCUCCGCGGCUUGGGUCCGGUAGGGGAGGGUGGAACACCCGGUGUAGCGGUGGAAUGCGCAGAUAUCGGGUGGAACACCGGUGGCGAAGGCGGCCCUCUGGGCCGAGACCGACGCUGAGGCGCGAAAGCUGGGGGAGCGAACAGGAUUAGAUACCCUGGUAGUCCCAGCCGUAAACGAUGGACGCUAGGUGUGGGGGGACGAUCCCCCCGUGCCGCAGCCAACGCAUUAAGCGUCCCGCCUGGGGAGUACGGCCGCAAGGCUAAAACUCAAAG
rnacentral:rRNA from 1 species